rnacentral:rRNA from 1 species
UUUGUUAGAUAAAAAGCCAAUGCAUGCUUUUACAGUAUGGAAAUUGGUGAUUUAUAAUAACUUAGCAAAUCGCAAAGUGAAAACAGGCGAUAAAUCAUUCAAGUUUCUGACCUAUCAGCUUUCGACGGUAUGGUAUUGGCUUACCGUGGCAGUGACGGUUAACGGGGGAUUAGGGUUCGAUUCCGGAGAGGGAGCCUGAGAAACGGCUACCACAUCUAAGGAAGGCAGCAGGCGCGCAAAUUACCCAAUUCUAACAGUUUGAGAGAGGUAGUAACAAGAAAUAACAAUACAAGGCAAUUAAAAUGCUUUGUAAUUGGAAUGAUAGAAAUUUAAACCCUUUUUAAAGUAUCAAUUGGAGGGCAAGUCUGGUGCCAGCAGCCGCGGUAAUUCCAGCUCCAAUAGCGUAUAUUAAAAUUGUUGCAGUUAAAAAGCUCGUAGUUGAAGUUCUGCUAAAAGUAACCGGUCUGCUUUUAAUAAAAGUGGUAUCUUGGUGUGUAUUUAGCAAUGAUGUCCUUUGAAGUGUUUUUUACUUUAUUGUAAUAAAGCAUAUUCAGGACUUUUACUUUGAGAAAAUUAGAGUGUUUCUAGCAGGCCGACGCUUUGAAUACUGCAGCAUGGAAUAAAUAAGAA